rnacentral:rRNA from 1 species
AUUGAACGCUGGCGGCAGGCCUAACACAUGCAAGUCGAACGGUAACAGGAAGCAUCUUGCUGCUUUGCUGACGAGUGGCGGACGGGUGAGUAAUGUCUGGGAAACUGCCCGAUUGAGGGGGAUAACUACUGGAAACGGUAGCUAAUACCGCAUAACGUCGCAAGACCAAAGAGGGGGACCUUAUUGCCGCUUGCCAUCGGAUGUUCCCAGAUGGGAUUAGCUAGUCGGUGGGGUAACGUCUCACCUAGGCGACGAUCCCUAGCUGGUCUGAGAGGAUGACCAGCCACAUUGGAAGUGAGACACGGUCCAGACUCCUACGGGAGGCCGCAGUGGGGAAUAUUGCACAAUGGGCGCAAGCCUGAUGCAGCCAUGCCGCGUGUAUGAAGAAGGCCUUAGGGUUGUAAAGUACGUUCAGCGGGGAGGAAGGGAGUAAAGUUAAUACCUUGGCUCAUUGACGUUAACCGCAGAAGAAGCACCGGCUAACUACGUG